AGCGAACGCUGGCGGCAGGCCUAACACAUGCAAGUCGAACGAACUCUUCGGAGUUAGUGGCGGACGGGUGAGUAACACGUGGGAACGUGCCUUUUGGUUCGGAAUAACUCAGGGAAACUUGUGCUAAUACCGCAUGUGCCCUUCGGGGGAAAGAUUUAUCGCCAUUAGAGCGGCCCGCGUCUGAUUAGCUAGUUGGUGAGGUAACGGCUCACCAAGGCGACGAUCAGUAGCUGGUCUGAGAGGAUGACCAGCCACACUGGGACUGAGACACGGCCCAGACUCCGACGGGAGGCAGCAGUGGGGAAUCUUGCGCAAUGGGCGAAAGCCUGACGCAGCCAUGCCGCGUGAAUGAUGAAGGUCGUAGGAUUGUAAAAUUCUUUCACCGGGGACGAUAAUGACGGUACCCGGAGAAGAAGCCCCGGCUAACUUCGUG
rnacentral:rRNA from 1 species